rnacentral:rRNA from 1 species
GCAGCCGCCGCGGGAAUACGGAGGGUGCAAGCGUUAAUCGGAAUUACUGGGCGUAAAGCGCACGCAGGCGGUUUGUUAAGUCAGAUGUGAAAUCCCCGAGCUUAACUUGGGAACUGCAUUUGAAACUGGCAAGCUAGAGUCUUGUAGAGGGGGGUAGAAUUCCAGGUGUAGCGGUGAAAUGCGUAGAGAUCUGGAGGAAUACCGGUGGCGAAGGCGGCCCCCUGGACAAAGACUGACGCUCAGGUGCGAAAGCGUGGGGAGCAAACAGGAUUAGAUACCCCAGUAGUCCCUGUCUCUUAUAC